UACUUUCUCUCUUAAACUUGGCUUGUAUAAAACUGAAGUAUAGCCUUUUAUAAUUGGUGUAUCUAUAUGCAUUUGUCUCUUCCAAGAAGAUCUUAUAUUUAGGGUGCCUGUGUUAUGACCAAAAUGGGAACUUGUUAGUUUCCCAACAGAGCCUUUCCUUGAGAGAAUGGGAUUUGGGAAAGGAAAGUGUCCCUAGAGAAAGAAUGAUGAGGUCAUUGGAGAUCUGGAAUAACAGAGGAGCCUAUCUGCAUUCCUGCCAAUCAGUCAACAUGUAGCAGAGCUCAGGGGGAAAAAAGUAUUCAGGCUGCCUUAAUGAGCACUAAUCAACCAGUGUGGCUGAAGACCUUCCUAUUGUGGAUUCCUUGACCAUGUCAAUCAAACACUUUGUUGGGGAAGAAAGACCUCUAUUGAGCCCAGGGAGAGAUUAUGUUUGAAAAGACAAACCAAACUGAAGAGCCAGGGCCCUGCAGGGUUUUUCACAGUGGCCCCCAAGCUUCAAGAGGAGAGUCCCUUUACAAACUCCCGGGUGGCUGGGAGCUAAGAUGAACAGAAAGCCCAGCCUGCUCCUGCGGGAAAUAUUCCGUCUCCUAGGUGGUUGGGGAAUUGCCCGAGUUUGGCUUUGACAGCUUUUCCUAAACGAGCUUCUGUCCCAUCGCCGGUAAGCCCCCUAGCACUGGGGAACCCAGCCCAGAACAGGCCACCUCUUUCACCGAUCGCUCAGACAUCCUCCCGUACGAGUUCCUGCUUCCUAACUAGAAAGAUUAAUGACCACUUUCGGAUUCCAUCUUCUGCUCCUAACCGCCUCCUGUCAUGCUCCGCUUCUUUCCCUUUCCAGAAGGCCGGGAGACUAGAGACACCUCCUGGAGACUGUGAGCAUAGCCUCGCGCUUUCCCCUCCAGCCAGCCCAGGGACAUCUUCCCCCCGCAGGAGGCUGGUUCUGGUACCUCCUUAACCCCUGAGCCUCCUAGGAGCACGGAAGCCUUCCGCUCUCGGGGCCGGAGGCAUGCAAGGCAGCUUUCCCAGCCCCAAGAGCACGUUCAGUCAUUGGCAGUGUCCGUCCCUGUCUAAGCCAGUGCUGCUGAAGGAGGCAGCCGAUGCCCUACCUGCGAGGGCGCAUUUGACAACGCUCUGCCUGCCGUGAAGAGCUCGGGAGGCCCCAUGGAGCUCUAGAAAUAAUAGAAGGAGAAAAGCGCUCUCCUUGGGCUCUGUUUGAAUCACCCUUGCCGAGUCUGCGGAGCAAGAGAUUUAAGUGAAUAGGACACUCCAGCGCCCACUUAGUCCCAAGGGGCAUUCCCACCUCAGUUCAGGACCAUUAAAAGAACGAGGCCAAAGAGACAACAUUUCUGAAAGUAAAGACAUGACAACAAAAGGGUCCGAAGAUUCCGGCGCCUGUUUCCCGUUUGGGCUGUGGGAAUGACGGCACUUUACUUCCAUUUUUCCACCACAUCGCCGGGCCCCGUCAGUAGAAAGACGAGCCGCUUUCAGAGCAGCCUCCUAUUCCCUGGAAGCCUGCUUUCCCUUGGUGUGGAGCAGCGCGUUGAUUUAAAAUCUUCCUCCUUCAAAGAACAGCCAGGCACGCUCUGCCAAGAUCAUAUUUAGUCACAGCAAUAAAAGCGUGCGUGCCCUGUG